GGCCAGGUGGCGGAGUGGCAACGCAUGCGAGACGAAUACAGACACCGCAAUGUUUCCUCGCAAUGUCUCUGUUUGAUUCGGGGUCUGGCCC